GGCAUGCGCCGCUGCCGCCGUUCCAUCUGGCCAUCUGGGUCGCAACCUCCCCAAGUCCCCAUCGCCCUCGCGGACAGCUGCGCGGCUGCCUCCUUCAUCCUCCUCGUCCUCCGGCUCCUCGACUCGUUCUCCAUGACUCCACCUCCUCUAUUACCAGAUCGAGCUAUAGUCAGGCGGUAUGGUGUGCCACUGGGUCGUAAAGCAUCGACGUGGAAGACGGCGCUCGUGGCUCCGUCGUUGUUCAUGGCGACGAGAGAGGCGAGGACAAUGGCCAGAUAGCAGGACCGUCCCCCACUUCCUCCGCGACGGCGAGAAGACGGUGCCGGCGGCCACCCCUCCUGCGUCCAGGCACCAGCAUCAACAGAAACCCAGAUCUCCUUACUUUUCUGGUUCGGCCAGACCUCGCACGUCCUUGAGUCCCCUUGCUCGUCACAUCAGGAAUCGAUCACGGCGGCGGCCUCACGUACGCACAGCCUCACUGCUGGUUGGUGUGGACCCGCGAUGUGACGAGUAUCUUAUGCGUAGCUCUUAACCACAGCACUUGCUUCCAACUCCUCCCACCGGUGUCCUUUUUGAUUACCGGCUUGAGUGACAAUUGAGUUGGUCAUUUUUUGUAGAGCAAAGUAGGGGCACCCCUGGUUUUAUAUAUGGAAAUUGGUUUGUCCUGUGCUGGAACAAUUAAUCGUUUGAAUUUCUCCAAUGCAUGUAGCCUUUGUAGUAACAAAUUCGAAAUUUCAGCAAGAACGGGUUCACCUGAGUAAUGCUAGAUUGAUUUGAUAAUAAUGCCUUCUAAAUGCGUAACAGCUCAAGUACUGAGAUAGAUACAUGCUUAAUUUGGGGGUACAAUAUAGCAGUCUUCAACUAUUUAUGUUUUGUUUUGCUGAUGUCAAGGAGCUUGUGGUGUUAUUGAUUUCUUGCAUUAUCCUGCUACAGAUUUUUUGCUCAAGCCUCGUAGGGAAGCAACAUCCAGCAUUGGUGUUUUUGGCUGUUGAAAAUGAAAACGUAUCUAAUGGAUGUUUCUGUGCUAUAGGACUCUCAAGAUGGUCAGUUCAUUCAUUACCAGAGCUUUGAUACUUGUCCUUAGGCCUGAAAUUGAGAAGUUGGUGUUUUUUGGCCUAUGAUUGCUACAAGGCAGUGGAGCUGAAUAGGCCUGAAAUUGAGAAGUUGUGAUGUUGGUGCCAGUACUGGAUUGGAUGCCUUUCACUUUACCGUCUGUCAUUCUUUGCUUUGUUUUUGCUUGGUCACAGGUGCAUAGUCAUGGUUUUUCAGGAUUUUACUUGCAAUGCUAAGUGUGUUUGAGAGAGUUGGGGAUAAUUUUGUAUCAUGGUAAUGUCAUUAUUUGGAAUGAUAGUUUUAUUUUCUUACAGGUUACCAAUUUAUAGUGGAACAAAGCUGCCAUUUAUCGUGUAUGUGUGGUAUCCCAAGACACGGAUAUGACGUUCUGUGAUUGAAAUUGCCAAAGCAUUGUUU